AACAACAGCACUGCAGCGACGGGGCGGUCACGAUGUCGGUAUUGGGAGCGAUUACGGAGUCGCCAUCUGUUGGAAGCGCCUCACAUGCGUCGGCGCUAAAUAAACAUACUACGCGGCAGCCCUCCUGAACAAUUGUGCAAGUACUCUAGAAAUGGCAGUAUUUUACCUUUAAAAUAAUAAUGUUGGACAAACAGAAAGCACAAAAUGGUUUACAGACGCUAUCUGCCUACUACGUACAGUAAGCUGGGACACUGCGCGCGGUCGCCGCGAUCGAUUCCCCCGAACCGUUUUGCGUGAAACGUAAGCAAUCGCCGAGAAAACUAUGUGAAGUAUGUUCUUAUGGUGGGAUGGCUAUUUGUGUAACUAAAUGUAGCAUAACAGUUAAUGCAGCGAUCGCGCGGGUUCACGGUGACCGACUUCGCGUCUGCAUGCAUGUCCUCGCACGAUGUUUCGCUUUCGCUCCGAGCACGUUUUCGCACCGUGCCUGAGCUUUAUGCCGCAGCAUAUGCGCAUUUGACAGUACGCAAGCAACCAUUGUUGCAUGGACACUAUCGGAGCUGUUCAAAAAUAAUUUCGUUAUAGCUAGGGUAUUCGACGCCUACGGCGAAUUGUGAUGUUCCGUCGUGAUGAUUCAGUCUUAAUUUUCUUUUUCUUUUCUUCUAAAGUAUUGGAAGCUUCAAUAUCAUUAUUUCUCAAAUUUCAUCGAACUGCAUGUUUAUCGGUUCUCUAAGCGACCCACUGAUUCUUUUUCUUAAUUCAGUAGAAUAUUCAUUGUCUGGCGUUACACAAGCAGGAACAUGUGCCGUGCCUUUUUUAUGUGUUUUUUAUCAUUCCCCUUCCAUUACAGUGAACCUUCUUUCUUUAUUAUAAUCAUCAUAGGUGUUACAGUGCAUACGCAAAAGAUUGUUGGACCCAAUAACCGCAAGCUAGUGGUUGGGUCCGGAUGUGAAAUAUAAUGGGGACAGUACUGCAAUAAAAUAUCGCGGUCCGUGAAGUGCUCGGCAUCCCCAUAGACGCCAGCACCACGAAGCUCAUGCAGCUGGGGGUCAACAACACCUUCCAUGAGGUUGAGUCACAGAAAUUAGUCCAGGUUGUCAGGCUCGCUUCCUCGCCUGCGGGCAGGCGGAUCCUGGAGGCGCUGGACUUUAACCCGUCAGGGAAAGGCGGUGCGCGCUCGACGCGUGGUCGCGGGAGGCCGUCACGGUCUCGCUGUUGCCGCACAACAUGCACGGCCCGCAACGCAAUGUAGGCAGACGCCGGGCCCGGGCGGCCGCACUUCUCGGAUCCGCCGCCGACGAUCCACGAUCGGUCGCGUUCGUCGACGUCGCCCAAUACGGUUCGUCCGACCGGUUCGCAGCGGCCGUUGUGGAUCACAGGGGCAACCUAACGCCGCGUCCGUGCGGAGGUCCAUUCUGCCCUUUAGAACACAUGCUCUGGCGGUGUCCCUCGUUACGGGACCACGAUCAUCACACCACGGAAGAGUGAGAGGAGGCGGUCAGGUACGGCCUGCCCGUCCCAACGUGGGAGCGGCUCGCGGCGGCCCCUCCCUCAUAAGAGAGUUUCGGAGUCGCUCCUUAGGACCUUAAUAAGGUUCACUGCCUGCCGUGAAGUGCUCGAAGUUGUUUGCAUAGAAUGCUGUUUGAAAGAAGUGCGGCCAUUGACGUCGCUACAGUGUUGAUGUUAAAGUGGAGACGGGCCCCGUCACUGCAGGGCAGAUGUUAAAGCGCCGGGCCCCGUCACUGUAGUACAGAUGUUAAAGUGCCGGGCCCCGUCACUGUAGUACAGAUGUUAAAGUGCCGGGCCCCGUCACUGUAGUCACUACCAUUUAAAUAGGAGCACCGGAGAUCAUAGAGUUAGUAGAACAACUCUAGAGGAAAAGCUGGGCCGGAAAAGUGGGAACCUCUAGGGCGCCGCCCUGUUGCUACUGGUCAAUGUGGCCAGCGCAAUUACUAUUGAAAGAGCUGAAAACAAGUACAGGUCACCUUAUGCUUUGUCAUCUAAAACGCGUAUUUGAUGGCUUUAUGAAGGUGGUGCGUUAAUAUUAAGUUUACAGAAAGCGAUCGCUAAGUCCGUGACUUAUGUAAAUCACGAUGUACGCAUUCAUGCAAUAAAGGAUGACGCGAAUUUCGGUUUCGAAUCUGUGUUUUGGAUGCGUAGUAGUUUCGUUUAGGUUUGACCUGCGAUCGCGCGUCGACAUCGGACGCUAUGGCAACGUGCCUUAUGUGCCACCGAAGCCCCGAAGUGGUCUGGCAUAUACCUUCACAUACAAUGCCUACGCCUAGCCACAGCAGCUCCCUCAUACAGACUCCGCAAGCCAAGAGGCCAUGGAGGCAAAUGCAGGCAGCCAGCACACCCCGGACAGCCACCUUGACUGCGGGUGUAUCACCCUAGUCACCAAGGAAACAUCUGAGGGAAAGCAACAGGCAAUGUGAACAGCCACUUCUCCAUCUAAACAAUACUCUUUCUCUCGGAUGACUCCUACGCCUCGCCACGCCAGCACACUUGUGCACAAAGAUGCCGCGGAGGCACGUGCAGGUCAGAGGCAAGAAGCAGUGGCACUGGUGUCGACAUUCACCUAAUUUUUUUUACUUACACCGAGGCAGCCAGCACACCUCGAACAGCCACCUUGACUGCGGGUGUGUCAGUAGAUUCCUGUCGUACAUAUGCUCAUAAUAAACUUGAUGGCAAAUGGGACAA